ACUUACGGCCAUACCACCCUGUCUGCACCGGAUCUCGUCUGAGCUUGGAAGCUAAGCAGGGUUGGUCCUGGUUAGUACUUGCAUGGGAGACUGCCUGGGAAUACCAGGCGCUGUAAGCU
rnacentral:rRNA from 1 species